rnacentral:precursor_RNA from 1 species
CCCACCCCGGCCUCGCCUCCUCCCCCUCCCAGGGAAGGGCCAUGGUGCGGGUUGGGGUGGGGC